AUGCUUGCUUCAGCAGCACAUAUACUAAAUUUGGAACGAUACAGAGAAGAUUAGCAUGGCCCCUGCACAAGGAUGAUACGCAAAUUCGUGAAGGAUUCCAUAUUUUU
rnacentral:snRNA from 1 species